rnacentral:misc_RNA from 1 species
UUUCCGUAGGUGAACCUGCGGAAGGAUCAUUAUUGCAUAACCGUCGUUCGAGGCCUGUCGAUGCCCCGAAAGAUCUUGCACCCCCUAUUACCCUCACACACAACCAUCUCACACCUAUGUGCUCCACAGCAUGGAUCGCCAUUUGACUUGUUCGGUGGGGCGCUGACGUUUUCACUCCAACUUUCUAUGCAGUGUGCAGUGUAUUGUUUGUUUUUGCGAUCGCGCUCUCAAUACAACUCUCAACAACGGAUCCCUUGUCUCUCGCAUCGAAGAAGAACG